CAGAUAGGGAAGAUGCUGUGAGAGGGAUAGAGCCAUACCGCUUUGAACCCGACGCUGACGGUGACGGUCAGGAGGACGCUGCUGAUAUUGAUGCUGGAGUAGCACACGACAUAGAUCGCCUUCUGAAUACAGAAUGGUGUACAUGUCACGACUGUGUGAACAUGGAGACAGUGGCUGAGUGUGCCUGCUGUCAUGAGCUAGAGGCAGUGGCCAGAACAAUGGAGGGUGGAGACGUGCAUCAUAGAACACCUGUGUGUCUGGAUUAAUGGGUGCUGCAGACAGCGUAUUACGCCUACAAACAGCAAUAUGGCGUGCUGCAGCAACAGCAAAAUGAGCGGAGACGAUACACAGCAUAUCGACAGUUUGUCCGCUUCUGCUGGGGAUAUCUGGGAAAGGAGAUAAGGGUGGCACUACCAGCUUGUGUAGUACAUAAGAUUAGAACAACAUUUCCAUCGAUGGACUACACUGGGUUCCAAGACGUGCAGUGACUGCAACAGA